rnacentral:rRNA from 1 species
AGUGAACGCUGGCGGUAGGCCUAACACAUGCAAGUCGAACGGCAGCACAGUAAGAGCUUGCUCUUACGGGUGGCGAGUGGCGGACGGGUGAGGAAUACAUCGGAAUCUACUUUUUCGUGGGGGAUAACGUAGGGAAACUUACGCUAAUACCGCAUACGACCUACGGGUGAAAGCAGGGGAUCUUCGGACCUUGCGCGAUUGAAUGAGCCGAUGUCGGAUUAGCUAGUUGGCGGGGAAAAGGCCCACCAAGGCGACGAUCCGUAGCUGGUCUGAGAGGAUGAUCAGCCACACUGGAACUGAGACACGGUCCAGACUCCUACGGGAGGCAGCAGUGGGGAAUAUUGGACAAUGGGCGCAAGCCUGAUCCAGCCAUACCGCGUGGGUGAAGAAGGCCUUCGGGUUGUAAAGCCCUUUUGUUGGGAAAGAAAAGCAGCAGGUUAAUACCCCGCUGCUCUGACGGUACCCAAAGAAUAAGCACCGGCUAACUUCGUG